UACGUGAGUGGCGAGCGUUAUCCGGAAUUACUGGGCGUAAAGGGUCCGUAGGGGGUGGUUCAAGUGCAAUGUUAAAUCUACUCGCUCAACGGGUAGGCCGCGUUGCAAACUGUUCCACUAGAGGUAUGUAGAGGUGAAUGGAAUUUCCGGAGUAGGGGUAAUAUCCGUAGAUACCGGAAGGAACACCAAUAGCGAAGGCAAUUCACUGGACAUCACCUGACCCUCAGGGACGAAAGCGUGGGGAGCGAACCGG
rnacentral:rRNA from 1 species